rnacentral:rRNA from 1 species
UUCGAGUGGCGACGGUGAGUAACGCUGGGUAACCUGCCUUACACAGGGGGAUAACACCUGGAAACAGGUGCUAAUACCGCAUAAGCGCACAGGGCCGCAUGGCCCGGUGUGAAAAACUCCGGUGGUGUAAGAUGGACCCGCGUCUGAUUAGCUUGUUGGCGGGGUAGGGGCCCACCAAGGCGACGAUCAGUAGCCGGCCUGAGAGGGUGGACGGCCACAUUGGGACUGAGACACGGCCCAAACUCCUACGGGAGGCAGCAG